rnacentral:rRNA from 1 species
AUUGAACGCUGGCGGCAUGCCUAACACAUGCAAGUCGAGCGGAGCUGCGGACGGGUGCGUGAUGCCUAGUAAUCUGCCCGUGAGUGAGCUACAAAUCACGGAAACGGGCGCCUAUACCGCAUACGUUCAGAUGACUCUAGGGCGUAUUUGCUAGUUGGUGGGGUAAUGGCCUACCAAGGCGACGAUCCGUAACCGAUCUGAGAGGAUGAUCAGUCACACUGGAACUGAGACACGGUCCAGACUCCUACGGGAGGCAGCAGGGGGGAAUAUUGGACAAUGGGCGAAAGUCUGACCGAGCCAUGCCGCGUGUGUGAAGAAGGUUUUCGGAUUGUAAAGCACUUUGGGUAGGGAAGCGUUACCAACAGAAUAAGCACCGGCUAACUUCGUGCCAGCAGCCGCGGUAAUAC